GGACGUGUGACUGAGUGGUCUAAAGUGUGACUCUUGAGUAGUUAUGUUUCAUUAUUGAAACCGUAAGUUCGAAUCUUACCGCGUCCG
rfam:Sugiyamaella lignohabitans strain CBS 10342 mitochondrion genome.